GAGCUAUGAUGAUUUUUACCGGAUUCUGAAUAACGUAUGAAGUGUUAUUUGAGCUUUUUAAAUCUGAGCCCC